rnacentral:rRNA from 1 species
UGGGGAAUAUUGCACAAUGGGGGAAACCCUGAUGCAGCGACGCCGCGUGAGCGAAGAAGGUUUUCGAAUCGUAAAGCUCUGUCCUAUGGGAAGAUAAUGACUGUUCCAUAGGAGGUAGCCCCGGCUAACUACGUGCCAGCAGCCGCGGUAAUACGUAGGGGGCAAGCGUUGUCCGGAAUCACUGGGCGUAAAGGGUUCGCAGGCGGAAAUGCAAGUCAGUUGUGAAAGGCAGAGGCUCAACCUCUGUAAGCAAUUGAAACUGUAUUUCUUGAGAUGUGGAGAGGCAAGUGGAAUUCCUAGUGUAGCGGUGAAAUGCGUAGAUAUUAGGAAGAAUACCGGUGGCGAAGGCGACUUGCUGGACACAAACUGACGCUGAGGAACGAAAGCGUGGGUAGCAAACAGG